rnacentral:rRNA from 1 species
AGAACGAACGCUGGCGGCAUGCCUAAUACAUGCAAGUCGAACGAACACUUCGGUGUUAGUGGCGCACGGGUGCGUAACGCGUGGGAAUCUGCCCUUGGGUUCGGAAUAACAGUUGGAAACGACUGCUAAUACCGGAUGAUGACGAAAGUCCAAAGAUUUAUCGCCCAGGGAUGAGCCCGCGUAGGAUUAGCUAGUUGGUGAGGUAAAGGCUCACCAAGGCGACGAUCCUUAGCUGGUCUGAGAGGAUGAUCAGCCACACUGGGACUGAGACACGGCCCAGACUCCUACGGGAGGCAGCAGUAGGGAAUAUUGGACAAUGGGCGCAAGCCUGAUCCAGCAAUGCCGCGUGAGUGAUGAAGGCCUUAAGGGUUGUAAAGCUCUUUUACCCGAGAUGAUAAUGACAGUAUCGGAGAAUAAGCCCGCUAACUCCGUGCCACAGCCGC